CAUGGAGUAUUGAGCAAAUAGGAUUUAGUGAGGUAACUUUAUCCCAAUUCUACAGACUUAUAAUGUAAAGGGAGAGGAGUAAGAGAUUUGCUAAUUCUGGGAUUCCCCAUGACAAUCCUACCUUUUUCAACCUUUAUUUUCUUAGUGCAGCUGGCUAACAUGUUUGGAAAUUCUUUCAGCUUAGAGGUUUUAAAAUGACCAUAAGGAAAAUCAAUUAGAGGUUUCGAAAUGGUCAUAAGGAAAAGAAAUGAUCACAAUUGCUUCAAAGAAAAUAAAAUACCUAGGAAUCCAACUUACAAGGGACGUGAAGGACCUCUUCAAGGAGAACUACAAACCACUGCUCAAUGAAAUAAAAGAGGAUACAAACAAAUGGAAGAACAUUCCAUGCUCAUGGGUAGGAAGAAUCAAUAUUGUGAAAAUGGCCAUACUGCCCAAGGUAAUUUAUAGAUUCAGUGCCAUCCCCAUCAAGCUACCAGUUACUUUCUUCACAGAAUUGGAAAAAACUACUUUAAAGUUCAUAUGGAACCAAAAAAGAGCCCGCAAUCAGGCUAUAAAAUAGCUGUUUCUUUUUUCCUAAUUAGCUAUAUCUUAAGUUACACAAAAUAUAUUAAGAAUCAGUAGCAACUGCUUCACAUAUUUGUUUUUUAUAUAAUAGCUACUCCUGCUCACCUUUGGUGUCCACUCGCAUGAAAUGCCUUUUUCCACCCCUUUACCUUAAGUUUAUGUGAGUCCUUAUGUGUUAGGUGAGUCUCUUCAAGUAGCAGAUAGUUGGUUGGUGAAUUCUUAUCCAUUCUGCAGUUCUUAUCUUUUAAGUGGAGCAUUUAGGCCAUUUACAUUCGAUGUUAGUAUUGAGAUAUGAGGUAGCAUUCCAUUUGUCAUUUUAUUUGUUGCCUGUGUACUUUGGUUUUUUGUUUUUUUUUUUAAUUGUAUUUUUGUUUUAUAGGUCCUGUGAGCUUGGUAGUGGUGAAUUCUCUCAGCAUUUGUUUGUCUGAAAAAGACUGUAUCUUUCAUACACAAUGCCUAGU
rnacentral:lncRNA from 1 species